GGAACAAUUUGCCUGAACGUUGCUGUAUGGAUUGUGGCAGGGAUAGUCCUGAGAUGUGAGCUCGCUGUCUUCUCCACUUUGUUCUGAUGGCAGCCAGGAAGAAAUCAGGAGAGGCUCAUCAGGAUAUUACCUCUGAUGCAAACACAUGAGACAUCUGGUUAUCGAUCCAUACAUUGAUGUCCCCCGUGGUAACGUGGCCUGCAUACAGACUACACCGACACAACUGGGCCAGCACGACACACAGCAGUUGUACAUGGCCUUCCGGCAAAACACUAAGUAAAUGACCUGGCAGGGUGUGUCACCACCCUACAGCGGUGUGGAUCGAUGCUCGAUGCUCCUACUGGUGACAAUUGACUUGUCUGGUCCAGACUUGAUCAAUUGAGUGUUACAGUUGACAUAUUUUGCGGCUCAAAAUUCAUACAUUCACUCUUCCGAUUGAUAAACCUUGCUCAAUAGUGAUGGAAGACAAGGGGGCAGCAAGUUCUGUCUCAGCCGGACAGCUGUGUAUCAAAGGACUGAUAUACCGUAGUUGUGUUGACGUGUAUGCUUUAAGAACGUACUGUUUUGGAUAAUAUGCAUCUUUACACCCCCUGCAGCUCUACAGUAAACCUGCUCUACAUCAAGGAUAGACGAUACCCAUAUAGGAACUGCAUCUCUGAUUGUAGUCUUGAGGAGCCAGCCUGGUGCCUUGGUGGUUACAGUGUUCGUUCGCCACGCAGAAGACCUAGUUCGUUUCCCCACUUUGAUACAAUGGGUGACGCCCUUUUAUUGUGUAUAUUGCUGAAAUACAGCGAGGCUUGUUACGGCCACCCACGGUCACUGACCAAAUAGUACAUUCUUGACCUUGGCAAUGCUGAUGUGUCUUUGUGAUUGAUAAACUACCAAAUUAGCCGAACCAUACUCUAAUAAGGAGGUCAUGGGCCUAACUGUACCAGCCCAGGCCUGAUGU